GCAUCGGUGGUUUAGUGGUAAAAGUCCGUUCCUCCAUUCUGAUUCGUUGAACCAUAACUAACAAUGUUCUAGUUAGCCGUUGCCAGAGCGCAACAUCGGCUAGCCCCGGGUUCGAUUCCCGGCCGAUGCA